rnacentral:rRNA from 1 species
UUCGCAAUGCCCGAAAGGGUGACGAAGCGACGCCGCGUGCGGGAAGAAGGCCUUCGGGUUGUAAACCGCUGUCGGGAGUUAAGAAAUGUAAGGAUGUUAAUAGCGUCUUUACUUGACUAAGGCUCCGGAGGAAGCCACGGCUAACUCUGUGCCAGCAGCCGCGGUAAUACAGAGGCGGCAAGCGUUGUUCGGAAUUAUUGGGCGUAAAGAGCACGUAGGUGGCUAUGUAAGUCGGUUGUGAAAGCCUUCCGCUCAACGGGAGAACAGCAUCCGAUACUGCAUGGCUUGAGUGUGGGAGGGGAGAGUGGAACUUCUGGUGGAGCGGUGAAAUGCGUAGAUAUCAGAAGGAACGCCGGCGGCGAAAGCGGCUCUCUGGUCCGUAACUGACGCUGAGUGUGCGAAAGCUAGGGGAGCAAACGGGAUUAGAUACCCCGGUAGUCCUAGCCGUAAACGAUGGGCACUAAGUAGAGGGGUUUU